UGUUGUGGUGGGGAACCAACCUUUGUGCAGCCAAGUGCUCUGCAGCUGGAAUGGCCCCUGUGCAAUUCAUGUCACUGGGAUGGUGACACUUCUUCUAAACACCCUGAAGGAAAAGUAACUGAAACACCAAAACAGCAGCUCACUGCUGACCUUGAGCCAAAACAAGGAGAUGAACGAGGGGAUGGCUCUUUUUGGUGAAGUAACACGGGUGAAUAGAGCAGAAAUGGUUUCAGGUGUUUCUACUCACAAAAGUUCAUCCAUUGCAAACACAAAAAUCUUGGUAAAAAAGUGUUGAAAGGUAUUUGCAUUCCAAAUUUUUUGAUGUAUGUUUAGGAAGUCUUUAAGAGGUCAUGAUAUUAAUGAAGAAUUCUUAAGAGCAUUUCCUGAGUUCUCUGUUGCUUUUGAGAACAUCAGCUCUUGCCUAAAGUGACUGUUAAUUGGAUCAGUAUUUGUCUUGUAUCAGUGGUUUAAUGAAUGGAUGUGGAAUCUGAUGUCUCUCAUAGGAGGCUGAUGUUCAGAUUCAGUGUUUUGUAAAUACAGCUUCUGUGUUAGAGGUUUCCUAGAGGCAGCCAAACUGGGGGGCCCCAUCCCAUCCAUCUGCCUGUGGGGUGGAUGUGGGUCUGUGUGCAGGCUGCUUUAUGAUGUUUCCUCUCCUGAUUCAGUCAGCAAACAGGCUGAGAGGCCAGCCUGAGUAAAGGUUUAAUGUGGAGAGUGUUUGUAACCAGCGUCCCCGUGCUGGGUGUGACUGCUCUCCGUGUUCUGUUCAAAACAGCCAGGGCUGGCUGGGCUGUUUCAUUUGCCUUUCAAAGCCAUUUAAUGCACAUCCACUCCAAGGGCUGAGCUAAUUUUCUGCAGUCCAUGCAGUUACUUCUAACUCCAUCCUCUCUGUCUCUGAAGGCAUCUUGGAGGCUCCAGUGUUUCAGUUAAACCUAACAAUCUGCUGCUGAUAUGAUCUACUUCCAACAGCCCUUCUCACCCAGCUGGAGACUGGUCAAGGCAUCCUACCUCUGCUUACAGUCAAAGUCACCUGUUUUGCUGAGAUGCACUGAGUUUAACACACUCCUCCUCUUUUUUUUUUUCUUUUUUUUUUUUUUCCCAUUGGCUGUGAAGUGAUUUUAGGUAAGUAGCUUAGAUGGAACCAUUUACUCUUGAUCAAAUGAGUCCUAUUUCCAGCUGAAGUGUUGAAGGCUUCAUUCUCAAGGUCCAUCCCUAUUUCCCAAGAAGUGACUGUCCUGCAGCUGGAGGUGUGGGACUCCCCUCCAGCAGUUCAAACUGGCAUUCCUAUUCUCUGUGAUGUAACCUAGCAGGAAAGUUUGUGGCUUUCAUUCUUGUUUUUACAGAAGAUAAGAAAUCUAUUAAAAUUGCAUAUAUUAUGGUACAAUCUUGUA